rnacentral:rRNA from 1 species
AUUGAACGCUGGCGGCAGGCCUAACACAUGCAAGUCGAGCGGUUGAAGGGAGCUUGCUCCCUGAUUCAGCGGCGGACGGGUGAGUAAUGCCUAGGAAUCUGCCUAUUAGUGGGGGACAACGUUUCGAAAGGAACGCUAAUACCGCAUACGUCCUACGGGAGAAAGCAGGGGACCUUCGGGCCUUGCGCUAAUAGAUGAGCCUAGGUCGGAUUAGCUUGUUGGUGAGGUAAUGGCUCACCAAGGCGACGAUCCGUAACUGGUCUGAGAGGAUGAUCAGUCACAAUGGAACUGAGACACGGUCCAGACUCCUACGGGAGGCAGCAGUGGGGAAUAUUGGACAAUGGGCGAAAGCCUGAUCCAGCCAUGCCGCGUGUGUGAAGAAGGUCUUCGGAUUGUAAAGCACUUUAAGUUGGGAGGAAGGGUUGUAGAUUAAUACUCUGCAAUUUUGACGUUACCGACAGAAUAAGCACCGGCUGACUCUGUGCCAGCCGCCGCGGUAA